rnacentral:rRNA from 1 species
CGGAGGAAAAGAAACUAACAAGGAUUCCCCUAGUAACGGCGAGUGAAGCGGGAAGAGCUCAAAUUUGAAAUCUGGCAGUCUUCGAUUGUCCGAGUUGUAAUCUAUAGAGGCGUUUUCCGUGCCGGACCGUGUCCAAGUCUCCUGGAAAGGAGUAUCAAAGAGGGUGAUAAUCCCGUACUUAACACGACCACCGGUGCUCUGUGAUACGUCUUCUACGAGUCGAGUUGUUUGGGAAUGCAGCUCAAAAUGGGUGGUGAAUUCCAUCUAAAGCUAAAUAUUGGCGAGAGACCGAUAGCGAACAAGUACCGUGAGGGAAAGAUGAAAAGCACUUUGGAAAGAGAGUUAAACAGUACGUGAAAUUGUUGAAAGGGAAACGAUUGAAGUCAGUCGUGUUCUUUGGAUUCAGCCAGUUCUGCUGGUCUACUUCCUUGGAACGGGUCAACAUCAGUUUUGUCCGGUGGAUAAAGGUAGUAGGAAUGUGACUUCUCCGGAAGUGUUAUAGCCUAUUAUCACAUACACUGGGUGAGACUGAGGACUGCAGCUCGCCUUUAUGGCCGGCCUUCGGGCACGUUCGAGCUUAGGAUGUUGACAUAAUGGCUUUAAACGACCCGUCU